UAACACGUAGGAGGCAAGCGUUAUCCGGAUUUACUGGGCGUAAAGCGCGUGCAGGCGGUUUGGUAAGUUGGAUGUGAAAGCUCCCGGCUCAACUGGGAGAGGCCGUUCAAUACUGCCAGACUAGAGGACGGUAGAGGAAGGUAGAAUUCCCGGUGUAGUGGUGAAAUGCGUAGAUAUCGGGAGGAAUACCAGUGGCGAAGGCGGCCUUCUGGGCCGUUCCUGACGCUAAGACGCGAAAGCAUGGGUAGCAAACGGGAUUAGAAACCCCGGUAGUCCAUGCCGUAAACGAUGCAAACUAGGUGUUGGUGGUGUAAAAGCCAUCAGUGCCGCAGCUAACGCGAUAAGUUUGCCGCCUGGGGACUACGGCCGCAAGGUUA
rnacentral:rRNA from 1 species